CGAACCUGCACGAUUACGCACUCGGGAAUACCAACGCUCGGGUCAGAAUUCAGAGGUUGCCUCACCGUGAGUUAUGCACAACGCGAAACACAUUUGCCGUGAUCCAAGCAAGAAAGAUCUCGCGAGGAUUACCGAGACCCGGCGUGGGCGGGCGGCGUGCGCCGUGCGGCUGGUGUCGUGGGCGUGCCCGGCGUGCGGCCAGUCGUUCUUGGCUCCAUUUCUUAAAUCCGAUCAUUUAGGGAGUUUUUGGUUGGUUUGAUUCGUGUAAAGACAUGUGUUGAUGUUACUUCAUGAGUGAAUUUGAUUGAAUCAACACGAGCACGAAGAAUCGAACCAAUUUUGUUUUGGGGAGAAAAACUACAUUCUUGCACAUGAUCUGAAAUUCCUGGAGUUUGAGUUCAAAUUGAGCCAUGACGCUUUCAGGAUAGCUUACCAACUCCAUAGAGAUCACCUGGCAAAGUUUGGGAGACAUUCCUUUUGAUUUGAUCAAGUUUGGGGCGUUUUUCUUUUUAUCCCGUCUCUCUUCUCUUCUGGCUUCCUCAUCUGUUCGUUGCUCGGCAGAGCAGAGCUGUGGCCGGCGCGAGCAGGACGACCAUCCAGCGAGGGAGUGCGGCAGCUAUCAUCCCAUCUCCGACAUUUACGAUUGCAUCGCGGUACAGUAUAUGGACUAUUACGUUCUACCUCCUGUAGUCCAGUUUGUAAAGAUGGGUUCGUUUCAGCUAUUUUGGCCGAUUGCAGCUGCUAAGCCAUUUGGCUGUAAACCUAAGCACCUGCGGUUACAAAUCAAAGACCAAACGUGCAGCCGCAGCGCUGCAGCAGCAUUAGUGCCGAACAGAGACAUGCAUGGAAAAAUAACAUCUUUGAGUUAGAAGCAAGGAAAAAUGACAAGCGUUGAUUCUCUUGACAUGUUUAGUUAUUACCCAAAUAUUCUCGACUUUUCUCGAAACUAAGCAUUGGAACUCAAGCUCUGGCACAAUGAAAGCUAACUAAGCAUUGCAACUCAAGCUCGGCCUAGGGCAGUAGGCGGCCUCAAGGUCCUCAACAUCGACGCUUGAGCUCCAGGUCUGUGCAUUUGCCUCCACCCUUGCAUUUGGUUCAGACACUACGUCAAGAUGGCCUUGCGGAAGGCUGUCGCGCUCCUUCCUGAGCAUGCAGUCGUUGCAUAUACAACGAGCCGUGCAACAAGAGUGGAUAUCAUGCGCACCCGGGCGCAUCGACGUGUUAAUAGAUGAACACAUUCGUGCAAUUGCCUGAAUUGGAGGCCAUGUUUCCUACGAGUCAGCUGUUUGCUACCAAUGAUCCUUGAGAGACUCUCUGACAGAGGGAGGCUGAGGAACAAGUAGAACGACAACGACUGAAGAAGCAGUGGUUGUAAUUACCCAUUUCAUGUCACAUUUCAAAUGAAGCUCAAUUACAGUUGCUGGGAUGGAACUGGGCAUAGGAGAGCUACCCAGCAGAGAUUCUUGGCUUCUGCAAUUUUAUCUCACAUUCUUCUGAAGAGCAAUCUUUACGGGCAGCUGCUGUGCAAGAGUAUCUGAUGUUUUCAAACAUAUAUGACCUCACUGCUGUGUUGGAGAAUAGAUAGCUUUGAACUAUUUGGUGAUCAUUCCCAGUUUUGCAUGGCACGUGGAAGUCUUUGGAUCUUUGAGAAAAUGGCUCUAUCUAUCCACAAGUGAUAUCGAUGGUUCUAUCUUCUAUUAGCAGAUUGGAUGAGGAAAGGUUUAUCCCGUUAUGAUUGUGUGCUCUACAAUUAAAUACUGAUGCUAACAUGAAUGGUGGGACAAUAAACUUUAGUAUGGCAUUAAGAACUUCCAUAAUGCAAUGGUGUUUGCUUGAAGUACAUUGAUGUAUUAUUUCCUUUUGCUUGAAGUAAAUCGAUGUAUUGUUUCCUUCCGAACUUCCAUAAUGCAAUGGUCUCUGCCAUUUGUAUCUAAAAGAAUUUAAAAUUACUUAAGAAAAUGGCUAA